UACGUGGGUCACGAGCGUUAUCCGAUGUUACUGGGCGUAAAGAGUAUGUAGGCGGUUUUUUAAGUUACUUUUCAAAGCUUCUCGCUUACCGAGGAACAGGGAAGUAAUACUAUUGAACUUGAGUUUUCUUUAGGGUAAUUGGAAUUAAUGGAGGAGUAGUGAAAUGCGUUGAUACCAUUAAGAACACCAGUGGCGAAGGCGAAUUACUGGAAGAUAACUGACGCUGAGAUACGAAAGCUAGGGGAGCGAACCGG
rnacentral:rRNA from 1 species